UUCCCGGUGGUCCACUGGAAGACUCUGUGUUUCCAAUGCAGGGUGUCCGGGUUCAAUCCCUGGUCAGGGAA
rnacentral:tRNA from 1 species